rnacentral:rRNA from 1 species
ACGGGGGUGGCGAGCGUUACUCGGAUUUAUUGGGCGUAAAGGGCAGGUAGGCGUCCUUUCAAGUUAGAAGUGAAAUCCUUUGGAACAACCAAAGCACUGCUUCUAAAACUGAAAGGAUUGAGGCCAGAAGAGGAGAGCGGGAUUCCCGGUGGGGGGGUGGAAUCUGUAGAUAUCGGGAAGAGCACCAGAGGCGAAGGAGGCUUACUGGUCUGGCCAUGACGCUAAGCUGCGAAAGCUAGGGGAGCCAGCAG